rnacentral:rRNA from 1 species
UAACAGGAUUAGAUACCCUGGUAGUCCACCCCGUAAACGUUGGGAACUAGUUGUGGGGACCAUUCCACGGUUUCCGUGACGCAGCUAACGCAUUAAGUUCCCCGCCUGGGGAGUACGGCCGCAAGGCUAAAACUCAAAGGAAUUGACGGGGACCCGCACAAGCGGCGGAGCAUGCGGAUUAAUUCGAUGCAACGCGAAGAACCUUACCAAGGCUUGACAUAUACGAGAACGGGCCAGAAAUGGUCAACUCUUUGGACACUCGUAAACAGGUGGUGCAUGGUUGUCGUCAGCUCGUGUCGUGAGAUGUUGGGUUAAGUCCCGCAACGAGCGCAACCCUCGUUCUAUGUUGCCAGCACGUAAUGGUGGGAACUCAUGGGAUACUGCCGGGGUCAACUCGGAGGAAGGUGGGGAUGACGU